rnacentral:tRNA from 1 species
CGGAGGGGUCGCAUAGUCGGCCUAGUGCGGCGGUUUGCUAAACCGCUAUACCCGCAAGGGUAUCGAGGGUUCGAAUCCCUCCCCCUCCGCCC